AAUAAAAAUAAAAAGAAAAAAAUCCAAAAGGGGUUAGGGCUUAGGGCUUUAGGCGCCUUUUUCCCUCUCUCUCGUUCUUGGUUGAAGCGGAGAUGGCGGAGGAGGAUGCGAUGGUUAAAGAAGAGCUAUCCAGCUCCUGCUGUAUUGCCUGGAAGGAAAAGUACGCCAAGUUGAAGGAGAGGUAUUCGAAGCUCGAAGAUGGCCGCAAUGCUCUUCGCAAGGGCCUAUCCAUCUUUGAGCAACAAAUUACCAAGAUACAAUCCGAGAAUCUCACUCUCAAGAAGGCUUAUGAGAGUGAGAAAGUCAGAGCAGACAAUUGGAGUGAAGAAAAAGCAAAAGAAUCAGCUCUGAGGGCCUCCUUAGAGAGUGAAGUUGGCUCUUUAAGGUCCAAUAUUCUUUCAUUGCAGCAGAAUCCAGGUCCAGCCAGUCAAGAUUUGGAGAGAGAAAUGGUACAACUUCGGGAAGUUCUCUCAGAAAAGGAUGCAGAGGUUAGCCGGCUUAAGGAGCUUCUUGAGAAUGAGAGAACUAGAGCUGAUUCAGAGAAAAAGAAAGCUGAGGCAGAGAGGAAAAAAGCUGAUGAUUUAAGGAAAAAAUUGAAAUCUGAGAAAAAUAGGGCAGAUGAAGAAAGGAGGCUUGUUGAUAUUGAAAGAAAAAAGGCUGAGGAAAAUAGGCUUAGGUUGGAGACUGCGAUGAAGGAUGCUAAUGAAGUAAAAUUGAAGUUGGCUUCCGAGACAUCAAAAUUGGUAGAGAUGAAAAAGAAGCUGGAGACGGAAGUACAAAACAGAAUGGAAGAUAGAAAAUCGGCAGACUCAUCAAUAUCUAAAGCUGUAGAGCAAACAAAGCUUGCUGAUACAAACUUAAAGAUUGCCAUGGAUGAGAAACGCCGAGCUGAUGAUUUGUCAAAGCAGUUGGACCAGCAUAGGCAAAGGAUUGAAAUUUUAAAGAAGGAGAUAGUUGAACUUAAGUCAUCUAGAAAAUUAGUUGAUAAGCUACCUGAUAAGGAGAGAGAAGUAGAAGAAAAACUUGCUCAGUUAGAGAUGAAAAAACUAGAAGAUAAGAAAAAAGUUGAGGCAUACAAGAAAAAGGCUGCAGAAGAAAAGUGCCGUGCUGAUCAGUUAUCACGUGAGCUUAAAAAUAACAAGCAAAGGCUAGAGGAGCUACAAAAGGAAAUCCACGUCCUUAUUUCCUCAAGAUCAUUUGCUGAAUCUCCUCUUCAUUCGCAUGAUAGGAGUUUCAAAUACCAAACAGCUAAAAUGAAAUUCUUGAAGAAGCAAUUGAAGUUGGAAAAGAUGAUAGUAAAGCACUCUGAAGAAGCCACAGAGCUUGAAAAAGCUCGUAAUUGUUUACUACAAGAAGAACUACUAUGCUUAAAACAAGAAUUUUCUCAGUUUUCAAAGCGCUUGAAUUUGUUGGAUAAGUAUUUCGUUUGCCGAGGUGAAGGUAUUCAUGACCUGGAAAAGGUAAACUUGAAAAACCAACAAUUUGGUGUUGAACCAUAUCAGAUGCAUUCUCUUCUCAAAGAUGGGCUUGCUCGAGUGGCUGCUGCUGGUGAAACUGAUUCAUUCAGAGAAAAUAUGGAAGGUAGUGCAUCUUUGCUUGCUAUAUCUGGAGGAAAUGGCACUAGAAAUGUUUCAGGUAUUAAUUCUAAAUUGGAGCCGUUGCUUAAAGGCUUCAAUAGAAAAGUAUUACAGAGUUCUGCCAUAAAUUCCAGUUCGACAUCUUUUUCUGAUAGACCAUUGGUGGGCUCACAGGAAAGACCUACUUCUGGCACCACAUCAGCUAAAUUUGCAGAAGAGAAAUCAAACCUUCCAGCAGCCAUAUUGAGGUUAUCUUGUGAUUCAAAAGAAAAGUGUAAUGAGAAUCUUGCAACAAUAACAGAAACUAGUGCCAAAAGUCCUAUUAGUGGUUUUGCUACUGAGAGGAGAGGACUACAUCAAAAGAAAAGGAAGAGGUCUAUUGAAAGUUUGCAUUCUGAGAAAUUACCUCUCCUGCAUACUGUGUUAGAAAGUCAAACUGAUAAAUCUGCAAACGUUGAAAGGUGUUUGCUUCCCGAUGUGCAAGGGAAUAUUUGCAAUCUGCAUGCUAGAUCUUACAAGAAGAGAAAGGCUUCUUUUGAGGAACAGAAUAAGUGUCAUUUAAAUGUAGCAAAUAGGGAAAAUGCGAACCUCAAAAUGUUAGGUAUUGAAGGUUCUGACAUCCACAAAAAAUCAACUUCAUCUGUCCAACAUCGUAGUGAAACUGCUCAUGGUUGGAAGGAUAGGAGUGAUGCUCUUGGAGAUUUUGAGUUAGUGAUUGGAAAUGACUACAUGAAGCUUCUUGAUUUGGAUAAUACUGUAGAUGAAGAAUCUUAUCGUUUAGCAGUUGAAAUGCCUUUGUCACCUACACUUCCAGAGAUUGAGUGUCAAAGCAGCGAUGCACUUGUAGUGAGUAAAUCUUAUCUCUUAUCAGAUAAAACUUCACUUAAGGAAUUUGCGCAUAUGAAGGAGAACCUCGCUCCAUUAGAACAUUUUGAUGUCCUUGACGUGGAAAUUGAUUCAAAUACGGCAAAGCUUGACACCUUAGGGGCUUCAAAUUCAUCAUUACAAGAGAUUAGCGAUCAUGCUGAUACAUCUGGCUUAAAUGGUAAUAGGCUUGAUCACUCUCAAAUUACCCAUGUUAAUACAUCUAAUUCUUCAGGUGAAUCAUUGGGUAUGCCUGAUACAUCAGCCUGUGCAAAUGAGAGAUCGAAGAUUUCAGGUGGAAGCAGAGACAUUCCUUCAAGUCAUAGUAUUCCAAAAUGUUAUGUUGUGUUUUCAAAUAAUGACAAAGACGAAGGCAUUUCCAGGGUAUACUCUGCAGCCAACAACUUUAUAGUUCAGUGUCCAAUGGUUUCUUCUUCAAAUUUGUUUGUUAGGAAUAUUCUCAUCUUCAUUUCUAAUGCUCAAGAUCUUUCAGCUAAAGAGAAGGCCUCCGUGUUCUUGUCACUUGUGCUGCACUACAUUUCUGAAAUGGCACCAAGGGACAUCAGAAAUGGUUGGGAUAGAGACUCAGUCCUGUUUAUUGCAUCUUUUGCUAAGCACAUAUAUGCAGAGCUUUCUGAUGAGAACACUGGAAUAAUUUUUUUCAAAUCAUGCAAUUUGUAUGAACUGCUUGCUCUAUUAGAGGACUUCAUUUUACAUAAAAAAGUCCUGGUAUUUGAUGGUGUAUGCUCUGGUUCAAAGCCUUCAAACAAUUCAAGGAUCAACUUUUUUGUGAAUGGUAAUAGUGUAAGUUUGUUUAGUCAAGCAGCUUCUGUAAACUUGCUAGUAGUUGGGGGCAUUUUGUUAGCAUCAUUAUGUGCUGCAGUUGACCAUAUUGGUUUCAUUUGUGAGGCUUCGUGCAACAUUCUGAGGAUGUCUAGAUCUGACACUUCAUUUGCACUAACAAUUCUUCAUAUCUUUGCCUAUUUGUGUGGGCCUGAGUGCUUUAGCAUCAAGGAGUAUAGCUUUGUAAUGGCUGUGGUGAGAUCCCUUGUUAUGGUUCUUGAGAAGCUUAAUCCUCUCGAACCGAAUUCAUGUUUCCCAUCUUUGCCUGAGGGUCUGUCCAAUAUAUGGUCAGACGGCAAGUGCCCAUUUUCUGAAGAUACAUUUUCGAUGGAUGUCAUCGCAACAAUGCUCCUAGACAAUCUUCAGAACUGUGCCUGGUCUAGUGUAAGGGAAAAGGAUUUGGUUGACACAAUCCAUCCAUCAACAGCUGGAGAGCAGUAUGAUACAGAGAAAACUAUGGACAUUUCUGCUCACAGAGAGGUGGUCAUAUCGCACACUGUUACUGAUGGCAAUGUGUGCUGCUUAGUUGAUGUCCUUGCACUAAUUGAGCUUGUAGCCUGUUUCAUGAGCUGGGAUUGGACUGUUGAGAGCAUUGUUUGCCCAGUGUUCAAAAUGUUGGAAUCAUGUUUACUGGAGCAUGUUCCUGCUGCCAUUGUUAUUCUUCUCGCACAACUUGGAAGGUUUGGGGUUUCUGCUAAUGGAUAUGAAGACAUUGGGGUUCAGAGCUUGAGAACAUGGUUCUUGGCAUUACUCUGCCAGUGUGAUUCUAAAACAGUUGGUCUUGACGUCCAGUUUUCCAUUGGAACUGCUUUACUUGGCCUCAUUUCUCUCAACUUCGAGGAGGUUGUGGAAAGCAAUACUGAAAUUUCUGAAUUUGGAAGUCAAUAUGAUUCUGCCAAUUGCUUAAGGAAGUGGUUUUCACUGUUGAGCAAUGAACACCAAUCGUCUUUCAGGAAUUUGGUUUCUUCAAGUAAAAGUCACCAAACUGGACACAUCCCUAUUGUGCAAUGAUCAGUAGAAUGUAUGGGAGAGGGAUGUAUUGGUUUCUUUCCUUGUGUUUUGUAUUUAGACGGACAUCAAGUUUCCAUGCACAAGUUGUCAAAGUAGGAAUUUUUUUUAUCAACCUGCUUUGGUUAGUCCUGCCUGUGCUUUCAUUCUUGAACUAUGAUGGGAUAUUCAAAGGUCAAGGUCCCUGUAAUUGACAUAGGCAGCCCUUGGAGAAGAUGAUACAUAGGGCCUCAUGAAGUCGUGGAGCGUUCGGAUCCACCGUAUGGAAGCUUCUCCUUCUCUGUCUUCUCCCCAUUUCACCAGAUCUUUGGGCAGCUUAGCUGCAAUGAAUUGCCAUCUGUGGACGAGUUUUAUUCCUUGUUCUGGACUCAAGGUAAU